GACGGAGGGUGCAAGCGUUGUUCGGAUUGACUGGGCGUAAAGGGCGUGUAGGCGGUCGGCCAAGUCUGAUGUGAAAGCCCGAGGCUCAGCCUCGGAAGUGCGUCGGAAACUAGUCGGCUGGAGCGCGAUAGAGGAGGGUGGAAUUCCCGGUGUAGCGGUGAAAUGCGUAGAUAUCAGGAGGAACACCGGCGGCGAAGGCGGCCCUCUGGAUCGUUGCUGACGCUGAGACGCGAAAGCGUGGGGAGCAAACAGG
rnacentral:rRNA from 1 species